CUGACCGCAAAUACAUCAAUCCAGGUGCAGUUACACAAAUAUUUACAGUCUUAUGGCUGGUACACACAGAACAAAACGCAGAGACGCAGUGAAGGCCUGCAGCAGGGAAUCCAAAAUGCCUUUGGAAAGCCGAACAGAUUGAAGUGUGUUCUGUGUUCACCAGUCGCCCCCCCAUCGCGAGCCCUGCCCGUGACAUGAGUGGCAACUGGCAAAUAAUUACACGGGCUCGUCUCAUUAGAACAGGAGACAGACAGCGGAGACGCACAGAUUCAGCUCAAUGCUGCGGUAGAGGAGAACGCAUUUCAAGACACAGCAAACUCAAGUUAGAAGCUGAAGUAUAUUAUACACGUGCAGGGAAACGCCAUCCUCAAACUUCCAACCUGUCAUAUCGAGACCACUUUGCACUACCCAAUCAAUUCUCCAUGAAUGCCAACAGCAAAACAACAGCUCUUUGGCAAAGCUCUGUGCUUAUGCUGCCAGGAGAACUGUGUUGAAUUUAAUUGGGAAGAACUGAAAGGCAGGGCAAGCGUCAGAUGGGAGGACGGUUUAGAGGAGAGAGAAAGACAACACGCACAACAGCAUCAUGGAAAGAAAAAGUAAAGAACUGUCUUACCUGAAGGUCUUGGAUAAGUGUAGGCUGCAAUAGAAAAGAAAUAAAGAUUAUUUAAAUAUAUAUACAUAUACAUACAAACAUACAUCACACAAGGCUGUAAGAUACAAAAUAUUACAUAAAAACGCUAUAUUU